CGAACACGCUGCGGGCGAGACCAGAAAAUGAAAUUUAUUAUCGGUGGAAGAGACUUUCGAGACAAUUCCAAGUUAUUGUUUCUCCCCGGAGAAGGGGCCGUGCACAGUGAAACGCCUUUUGUGCGGCGCGGAACAAUGCCAAACAAGUGUUCUAGUACAGAGCCACUUUGUGUUCCCCUCGCCAGUGAAUAGAAAGGAGCCGUUGGUUCGUGAGCAGCUGGGACGCGCGGAGGGAGGUGGAGCCGCAGGCGCCCUCUCGCGUGCGCGCCCUCCGCCCCGCGCCCCGCGCCACCGGGAGCCCCGGCCCGACCCGGCCGAGGUUCGGCCCCAAGGCGGCGACACAGCACUCCGCCCGCGGCGCGCUCUCGGCGCGGGGCCGACUCCAGCUUUGUCUCGCGAGGGGACCCCUCGGCCGUGGGCCGCGCCGGGCCUCCCGGCGGCGCCGGCUGCUUCUCUUCGCGCCGCGACAGGCCCCCCCCCCCACCGGACCAGACCAGACCAGACCAGACCAGAGGCGGCGUCUGGACGAGAGCGGCGGGCGGACGGAGCUUGCAGUGCUCGCAGCUGCUGUUUCCAGGAUGUCCUUCUCUGUCAGGCUGCAAUCUCCAGGACAAAAAGCCCACAGGACUUUUGCUCAGUGGAGCUCAGUCUGCAGAAACACUCUGUCAUUUGCAGCUGUUUCCUUGCCGCCGGGUUAGCUCUGGAGUCCCCAAAGAGUCAGAUGGGAUGAGAAGACUCGCUGUUCCCCAGGCACCUGGGAACUGCUGCCAGGGGACAAUAAAGCAGGUCUGUGAUGUGGUAAAAGUGAAGAUUCCUUGGAGAAAACAUCAUUUAUUUUUCUGGCUGUGAAUUUACAAGAUGCUAAAGCCUCUAACAAUUUAGUCUGAAUUUCAGUGACUUGUUGCUCACUGAGCUCAGUGUAGGCAAAUGUCUGACUAUGACAGUGGACAGGUGGACCUUGCUUUUCCAGGCUCAGAAAUAAAGUAGCAGUACUCAGAG